rnacentral:rRNA from 1 species
UACGGGGGGGGCAAGCGUUGUUCGGAAUUACUGGGCGUAAAGGGCUCGUAGGCGGCCAACUAAGUCAGACGUGAAAUCCCUCGGCUUAACCGGGGAACUGCGUCUGAUACUGGUUGGCUUGAAUCCGGGAGAGGGAUGUGGAAUUCCAGGUGUAGCGGUGAAAUGCGUAGAUAUCUGGAGGAACACCGGUGGCGAAGGCGGCAUCCUGGACCGGUACUGACGCUGAGGAGCGAAAGCCAGGGGAGCAAACGGG